CGGACGGGUGAGUAACACGUGGGUAACCUACCCAUCAGCGGGGGAUAACACUUGGAAACAGGUGCUAAUACCGCAUAAAUGCUGGAAUCGCAUGAUUCGAGUAUGAAAGACGCUUUCGGGUGUCUCUGAUGGAUGGACCUGCGGUGCAUUAGCUAGUUGGUGAGGUAACGGCUCACCAAGGCCACGAUGCAUAGCCGACCUGAGAGGGUGAUCGGCCACACUGGGACUGAGACACGGCCCAG
rnacentral:rRNA from 1 species